rnacentral:rRNA from 1 species
UACGAAGGGGCUAGCGUUGUUCGGAAUCACUGGGCGUAAAGCGCACGUAGGCGGAUCUUUAAGUCAGAGGUGAAAAUCCCAAGGCUCAACCUUGGAACUGCCUUUGAUACUGGGGAUCUUGAGUCCGGGAGAGGUGAGUGGAACUGCGAGUGUAGAGGUGAAAUUCGUAGAUAUUCGCAAGAACACCAGUGGCGAAGGCGGCUCACUGGCCCGGUACUGACGCUGAGGUGCGAAAGCGUGGGGAGCAAACAGG